CAUCUGUUUCUCUGCCUUAGUAACAUUACAGUAAUGAUGAGCAGAUGAGGAGUGAAAGGAAGUGAAGGCAAGGGCAGCCCCCAAAUGAAAAAGCUUUCUGUUCCACCAAGUCUUUUUUGCCCAGAUAGGGAAAGCUUUUCUCCUUUAAACAAUGCUCAUCUUAGUGACAAGUGAAUGACUGAAACACAAAGUGAAGUGGAGAGCAAGGGGUAAUUGGGUUAAUUCAAUUUGACCUAUAUUUCCAAGAUUUGAUCAAAGACUGACUAAAUAAUUUGAUGGAAGUUGUUUGGUUGUUUUGUUUUGUUUUUAAAAAGAUUAAUUACAGGUUGUAGGAAAAUCGUCACAACAUUCUAAACUUGACAAAUAUUGUGUGAGAUCUGGAUACAACACUGAUACUGACCAAGAAUAAUUUCAAAUUCCUCAGGAAAUUAGUAGCUUAUGUACAAACCUAUGCAGUGGAUGACAGAGGCUAUGUGAGUCUAACUAAUGUCUUAGCGAAUUACUUUGAAAUUACUGGUGAGCAGAAUUGCCUUUAUUAGAUCAUGGUGAAAAGGUGAGAGUGGCUGGGAAAAGGAAUCAUCUGGAUGCCAGGGAAGGCAGCCAGGGAGUUCUGGAGAGACUGGCAUCAAGACUGGGAGGAGGGAGCAGUCCGACUGGGAGGAAAUUCAGGUAUCAUUCAGGUGUGAAUGAUACUUAGUGUGAGAAACCUUGGCAGAUGAAAUCUUGGCAUGCAUAAGUGACCACACUCUUCUUUAAACUGACUUGUUCAAAGGAGAGAAACAGAGCUCUACAAGGAGAGAAAUUGCUAUCCUGCAUUAUGACAAAGAAAGCCAGAGAUCCCCAGCCUGCUUUACAUGGAGAUAAUCACAUAUGCAGCACACUGGAUGAGUCAAUGCCAUACUUCGGAAAAGAAAAAGUAUACUGUAAAAGUACAGGGAGAUUAUAAGAGAGGUUUUAAUAAGGCAUCCGGCCAUGGCCUCCACACUUCUGGGAGUGUAAUACUUGUUUCAUAGUGCCAGAACACCCCCAAGGUGCUGAAGAUCUCUACUAUGGAGGUAGGAGCAUGAUCUCUUCCAAGAAUACCUGCAUAACGAGGACAAAUGCUGCCUGGCUGUACAUGAUUAUACCUCCAUUGGAAUGGCUGCAACAACAGCAGUGUAAACUUGAAGAGCUGUAGUGCUCAAUCAGAUAUUUCUUGAUAGCAAAGUCUUGAUGGUGACAACAGUAUUGUUUUAGUUCUUGAAAGGAAGAGAAGGAUAAGUAGAAAAUACAUUAUUCACUCUAUACCCAGUUUCCCAGUUAAUUAUGAGCAAACUAUUCUUGACCUCAAUUAUUUGCAAUUGCUGUCAGAGAAACCUGUACAAAUUAACUGUGAAUGAUCUACGGUACAGAACAGAUGGUUCAACAGACAAACUUUUGUUAAAGUUUCAAAGCUCUGUAUAAAUUAAUUUUAAAGACCAGUAUUUACAUAUGGUUUCUGUUUGUCUUUCAAAUCCUGGAUUUCAGUUAGACUAACAUAUUUAGGUCAUACUUUGGCAGUGUAAAUGGGCUUUAAGUAGGACUCCAGAGGCCAGCUCAGGAGAGACAGCACAGAUGCAAGUCAUAUAUGCUUCCUAGGCUCUAGGUAAGUAGCUAGAUGCUUUGGAUGGCAGCUGGCAGGUAGAUGCCAGAAGUACGUGGAGUAUACUCCUAGGUGCUGUGUGAACUCAAAGCCUACACUACAAGGGUGAAUUUGCUGGGAAGCUGAGGGACUCCGCCCUCUGUCCUUGUUAACACUGCCCAGGAGUGGACACAUUUGUCUCCGUGUUAUGGAGACAGAAAAAAUGUAUAAACCUCCAGCCCUGGCUUAAACCUUUCUUUAGACUAAAAGAAAGCUCUGGCUGUUUUCCUGGAAAUGAAGGAGCUCUGGGGGGAAAAAAAAAAGAAAAAAAAGAAAAAAAAAAGAAAAAAAAAGAAAUACCUGUUCCCUCACUGAAUGUUUUUUCACCCUGGUUUCUCUUGCACACUUAAAAAUUCCCAUUUUCUUCCCAGAAUAUUUUUUAAAGUAUUUUCCUAGCUGGCAAAUAUUAGUAGCAGAAUAAAUGUUUUUGUAUGAAAAGUCUGUUGAAGAUG
rnacentral:lncRNA from 1 species